rnacentral:rRNA from 1 species
GACGAACGCUGGCGGCGUGCCUAACACAUGCAAGUCGAGCGGAGAUAAGCGGAUGGUAACUGAAGUUUGUCUUAGCGGCGGACGGGUGAGUAACACGUGGGCAACCUGCCUUGGAGUGGGGGAUAACACCGGGAAAUCGGUGCUAAUACCGCAUAACAUACACAUACUGCAUGGUGAGUGUAUCAAAGGAGCAAUCUGCUUUAAGAUGGGCCCGCGGCUGAUUAGCUAGUUGGUAAGGUAACGGCUUACCAAGGCGACGAUCAGUAGCCGACCUGAGAGGGUGACCGGCCACACUGGAACUGAGACACGGUCCAGACUCCUACGGGAGGCAGCAGUGGGGAAUAUUGCGCAAUGGGGGAAACCCUGACGCAGCAACGCCGCGUGGAGGAAGAAGGUCUUCGGAUUGUAAACUCCUGUCUUCUGGGACGAAGUAUGACGGUACCAGAGGAGGAAGCCACGGCUAACUACGUG